rnacentral:rRNA from 1 species
AACAAACGCUGGCGGCGCGCCUAAUACAUGCAAGUCGAACGGGGAAAGCUUUCGGGUGAGUACUAGUUGCGCACGGGUGAGUAAUGCGUGGAUAAUCUGCCUUGAAGAGGGGGAUAACCAGUCGAAAGAUUGGCUAAUACCGCAUAAGACCACAGGAACUGAGGUUCUAGAGGUCAAAGGUAUUUCGCUUCAAGAUGAGUCCGCGUAAGAUUAGCUAGUUGGUGAGGUAACGGCUCACCAAGGAGACGAUCUUUAACUGGUCUGAGAGGAUGAUCAGUCACACUGGAACUGAGACACGGUCCAGACUCCUACGGGAGGCAGCAGUAGGGAAUAUUGCACAAUGGAGGAAACUCUGAUGCAGCGACGCCGCGUGAGUGAUGAAGGCCUUCGGGUCGUAAAGCUCUGUCGCAGGGGAAUAACACAAUGAAGGUACCCUGUAAGAAAGGAUCGGCUAACUUCGUGCCAGCCGCCGCGGUAAAAC